rnacentral:rRNA from 1 species
UACGUAGGGUGCAAGCGUUAAUCGGAAUUACUGGGCGUAAAGCGUGCGCAGGCGGUUAUGUAAGACAGAGGUGAAAUUCCCCGGCUCAACCUGGGAACUGCCUUUGUGACUGCAUAGCUUGAGUGCGGCAGAGGGGGAUGGAAUUCCGCGUGUAGCAGUGAAAUGCGUAGAUAUGCGGAGGAACACCGAUGGCGAAGGCAAUCCCCUGGGCCUGCACUGACGCUCAUGCACGAAAGCGUGGGUAGCAAACAGG